GGGUGAUCCCCCACACUGGUACUGAGACACGNACCAGACUCCUACCGGGAGCAGCAGUCGAGAAUCAUUCACAAUGGAGGCAACUCUGAUGGUGCAACGCCGCGUGGAGGAUGACGGUCCUGGGUUGUAAACGUGCUUUUAUACGGGAAGAAACAUCGCUACGUGUAGCGACUUGACGGUACCGUAAG
rnacentral:rRNA from 1 species